rnacentral:rRNA from 1 species
GAUGAACGUUGGCGGCGUGCCUAACACAUGCAAGUCGAACGGUCCAUUGGCAGCAGAAUGGUUUUCGGACUAGGCUGCAGCCGGUGGAUAGUGGCGAACGGGUGAGUAACGCGUAGGCGACCUGCCCCGAGGUGGGGAAUAACUGUUCGAAAGGGCAGCUAAUACCGCAUGUGAUCGGAUAUUCGGUUAUCCGAUGAAAGACUUCGGUCGUCUCGGGAGGGGCCUGCGUCCGAUUAGCUAGUUGGUGGGUAACGGCUCACCAAGGCGACGAUCGGUAGCUGGUCUGAGAGGAUGGUCAGCCACACUGGCACUGAGACACGGGCCAGACUCCUACGGGAGGCAGCAGUGAGGAAUAUUGCCCAAUGGGCGAAAGCCUGAGGCAGCGACGCCGCGUGGACGACGAAGGCCCUCGGGUUGUAAAGUCCUUUUCUGAGGGACGAGACAAGGACGGUACCUCAGGAAUAAGCCUCGGCUAACUACGUG